GAUGAACGCUGGCGGCGUGCCUAAUACAUGCAAGUCAAGCGAACGGACGAGAAGCUUGCUUUUCUGAUGUUAGCGGCGGACGUGUGAGUAACACGUGGAUAACCUACCUAUAUGACUGGGAUAACUUCGGGAAACCGGAGCUAAUACCGGAUAAUAUUUUGAACCGCAUGGUUCAAAAGUGAAAGACGGUCUUGCUGUCACUUAUAGAUGGAUCCGCGCUGCAUUAGCUAGUUGGUAAGGUAACGGCUUACCAAGGCAACGAUGCAUAGCCGACCUGAGAGGGUGAUCGGCCACACUGGAACUGAGACACGGUCCAGACUCCUACGGGAGGCAGCAGUAGGGAAUCUUCCGCAAUGGGCGAAAGCCUGACGGAGCAACGCCGCGUGAGUGAUGAAGGUCUUCGGAUCGUAAAACUCUGUUAUUAGGGAAGAACAUAUGUGUAAGUAACUGUGCACAUCUUGACGGUACCUAAUCAGAAAGCCACGGCUAACUACGUG
rnacentral:rRNA from 1 species